GAAGUCUAAUUGAUUGCUGCACUCACCCUGUCGGCUCUGCAGGUCAAAAGCAGGGCUGUAUUCGACUUGUAUGCAAACCUGUCUAAAGUCUGUGUUGCUAGGCAACUGUUCGUGUUCAUGCAGCAAUCAUCUUGUUGAGUUGAUAAAUUAUAGAUCAGCGAAUUGUUGAUGACUCCAGUGCCUAGAACAACAUGUAUUUAAGUACUGUCCUGAUGUGCUUUUCAGUCUAACAAUUAUGAUUUGAUUGUGUUUAAUCUACAGCUAAAUUGCAGGUAAUGUGUUGCCAAGGUGAUUGCGCUGACACCUGUGCUUCUGUUCUUCUCCAUAUAUAAAAUUAACAGCCCUGCUCUGUUCCUCUGAGUAGACAGCGCAAGUGUCAUUAGAGUCUGCUUCUGCUCAGGUGCUGAUGCUGUAACUUGUUCUGUGCAGGAGCAGCUAGUUGUCCAUAGUACCAUAGCACUGAAACAUGCUUUUACAUUGGUUAGAAAUGUGUGAUUUAAGUUAAAAGCAUAUUUAGUUUUGAUGAGGGAUUUAAAAGACAAUGUUCAAGCAAUCUAAAAGCAAAGAGUUCCACUGCUGUGACACAAGAUCCUUUACUUUUCCUGGUAAUUUGCGGUCAGUGUGGGUAGAAUGAAUGCAGAUUAAACAAACAAGUUAAAUAACAAAACUUGUUUGUGAAAUUAUUUUACCCUCCUGUUGUCCGUGGGUCAAUUUUGACCCAUUUUCACAAUGUUUCUAAAUCAGAAAUUUGAGUUUUCUUUCAACUAAAUGAUCAAAAACAAAAAACGUGGAGGGUUAUAUCCAACACUCUUCCCAAGCAAAAUAAAUUAUUUGGGUGGUUUAUUCAAUUUUAUAGCAUUUGAAGAGGAAAGAAAUGAUGAGUGUUGAAAGAAGUGACAAAUGUUGGUAUAAGCAACUAAAACAUCGAAAAAACAUAAUUUUGAAAUCACAAUAAUUUAACACGAUUACUUAACUUCUGGAAAAAUGUUGCAAUUAUUAAACUUAAACAGUGGAAAAAGCUAAAUAAUUCAACAGUAACAAAAAAAAAACAUCUGAAAUUUCCCUUAAUACUUUUCCUAUUACAACUUUAUUUUUUCAUUUCAGAACACGAGAAAAUAACGUGAUGAGCCAAAUAAUAGUUUUUCUCGAUUAUUCUGUUUUUGUGAUCAUUGGGAGCUGAAAUCAUAAUCGCGAUUAAAUUUCGAUUAAUUGCACAGCCCUAUACUAUACUUACUUUUAUUGUUAAAAAUUGAUCACAAUAAAUAUUUAACAUCACCAGUAUGGCAAAGCAUAAAACCAAAACCAAAAUAUGAUCAUGUAAAGGGGCUGUAGGUUGGAUUGCGAAGAUCCAGGACUUAGCCAAAGAAUUUAAACAUUGAUGACUUCUCAGUCCCCCCCCCCCCCCCCCCCCCCCCCCCCCCCCUCUGCUAAAGCCAAAACUGUCUCCUAAACCCCUCACUCUAUGAAGGAGAAUGAAUGUGUGUACCUGAGCAGUGAUUGACACGCAGUUAGACGUGUUUCUGUAAAUUCAUGAGUGAAAACAAAAUCUCCUCUGUACUCGUGGUCUGGAAUUGUAUUAAUUGUGUACUGUGUGUUAAGCUGCCAGGAGUCAGACACCCCAGAAGGUAAAGUUAAUAAUAAAGGUAAAUACAAUGGCUUGAUAUAAUCCAUCCACAUGGUAUACUCUUACUAAAACUGCAUACGGUAUUAGUUGAAAAUAGCCUGUGGUGAAUUAGGAUGUCUGUGCCUUCUCACUACCAAAUGACUUAAUUGUGAACUGUCACUUAUGAUGU